GUUUUUAAUGGCAUUAUUUAUUUAUAUAAAUGUUUCCAUUGAAAUUUUACAUUUUUAUAAAUGUUUUAAUCGAAAUAAUAAAAAGAUGGACAUACUUCGCACGUGGGUGUGCCACUGUUGAAGGUGAAAAGCUGGAUAUGUAAAGGGGAAAUUGAAUUAUGUUUGUACGCAAUGAUUAACCAUUGCUAACGAAAAACGAAUCUGAGCGAAGUUCGGUUAAUAGUGUUACU